rnacentral:lncRNA from 1 species
AGAAGGGAACUAAAGAGCUGCCUUUUUUUUUUUCCCUUUAAACUACAGUUGUAAUCCAGUCUUCUGGUGGAUUAAGCAAAGAUGAUAUUGAAAACAUGGUUAAAAAUGCAGAGAAGUACGCUGAAGAAGACCGGAGGAAGAAGGAACGUGUUGAAGCAGUUAAUAUGGCUGAAGGAAUUAUUCAUGACACAGAAACCAAGAUGGAAGAAUUCAAGGACCAGUUGCCUGCUGACGAGUGCAACAAGCUAAAGGAAGAGAUUUCCAAAAUGAGAGAACUCCUUGCUCGAAAGGACAGUGAAACAGGAGAAAACAUUAGGCAGGCGGCAUCUUCCCUUCAGCAGGCAUCAUUGAAACUCUUUGAAAUGGCAUAUAAAAAGGUACAAGGGCUGGAGGGGUAAUUGGGGCCUAAUGACUGGGGCUCCCUGUAUAACCAUUUAUAGAAUUGAGGAUACUGUGAGUAGAAUGUCACAGAAUAGUAGGGAAUACCAUUGCUGUACAAGAGGAGGGGAGUCAGUACAAGGCGAGGUCUGUAUGAUGAAUGAAGCCUGUUGAACAGGGAGCAGACUUGUGGCUUCUUAGUGAUUCUCAAGUAUUUUUCUCAACAGAUGGCAUCUGAACGGGAAGGUUCUGGAAGUUCUAGCACUGGGGAACAGAAGGAAGAUCAGAAGGAAGAGAAACAGUAAUAGUGGCAGUGCAUUGUGGAGCCAGGACGACAUACUAUGAAGCUUGGGAGUAAAGGAACUUCCUGAGCAGAAAAGGGGCAAACUUCAGUCUUUUUACUGUAUUUUUGCAGUAUUCUAUAUAUAAUUUCCUUAAUAUAUAAAUCCAGUGACAAUAGCUAUAACUCAUUUAAUGGUAAUAAAGUCAGCAAUAGCAGGUUCACACUUCUAUAACUAGCCUGCUGUUUUCAGCUGCACGUAAAGGGGUGGGAUGGGGCUGCGUACCAAUCAUUAUUAGGUAAAUCUGGUUUGUGCUGAAGUAGCUAUGUUUUCAAGAUGGAAGCCCAUUUCACAUGCAGUAGAGGUAAUCUGUCAUGGACCUUGAAUUGAGGUCAUAUGCAGAUGCUUGUUGACCAAGAGCACUGCUAUAAAUGACCUGUGUGUACAUUUGCUCCUUCAACUGAUGCCUUGCAAGACUAAGCUCUCUGUGUCAUGGUCUAUAGGUACAGAAGUUAGGUCAAUGGAUAACAGCUGUGUUAGCCAUAGCUUAAAGUGAUCUAUCAAGAAUUAUACAAGCCUCUCAUGGGCCUAAGGCAUACUUCUCCAGCUACCCUCUUGGGUGGCCAAUGUCUGACAUCUAUAUUCUUGAUGAUUGUUCCUUUUUCAUCCAUUCUGGAUUUUUUUUUUUUUUAAUAAAAUUCUGAAAGCCUCUUGAUCUCCUUUGUGAAUGGUAGUAGCUCAAGGACUAUGACUGUACCAUCAGGUUUGUGAGUAGAGGUAAAAAAUCAACACUGGCUAAAAGGUUGAACAAAUUAAACAUGGUGAGGGACUAAAUAACAUGUUGGCAUGUAUGCUGGAUGUGGAAGCCCACUCAGGAAGCAGUGUGAAGCCAGGCGGGGCUACACAAUGAGACACCCCGUCUUAAUAAAAUACUGGCAUAAACGAAUCCAGUUGUUGUAGUCUUCUAUCUAGAAAAAACUAAGUGCUGUUUUUACCUUGAACAAAUUUUGAGCAGAGUUGAUAAAGAAUAUAGUAUUAUCAUUCAGAAGUCCUAAUGUCUAAUUCCAGUGACUCAGAACAAUUACCCUUUUUGUGUGUGUGUGUGUGUGUGUGUUCUCUCCACUGUCCUGGAGAGAAAGACAACUUUGUAUAGUCCUUUUUUAUUUAUUUUUUUGUCUAUGGUUAUGUGCACGGAUCCCUGGAGCUGUAGCUAUAGGCAGCUGUGAAUCUGGUGGCACUUCAUGGGCCAUUAUGUGCUGUUGAUCUUCCUACAUAAAUCCCUUUUUAUUAUUUUUUUUGAAACAGUUUCACUAUGUAGAAUGCUAGGUUUAAAGGAAUGUACUACCAAGCCCACCUGAUUUCAAACAUUUCAAAGCAGGUUAGGGUUUCCAAGAUAGAAAAAUAGGAUAUACAGCUAUUAUAAGU